rnacentral:rRNA from 1 species
UACAUGGGGUGCAAACGUUGCUCGGAAUCAUUGGGCGUAAAGCGCGCGUAGGCGGUUACACAAGGUGGAUGUGAAAGCCCUCGGCUUAACUGAGGAAGUGCAUCCAAAACUGUGCAGCUAGAGUACUAAAGAGGGUCGCGGAAUUCCCGGUGUAGAGGUGAAAUUCGUAGAUAUCGGGAGGAACACCGGUGGCGAAGGCGGCGACCUGGGUAGAUACUGACGCUGAGGCGCGAAAGCGUGGGGAGCAAACAGG